CAAAAAUCAUAUACAAGUUACAAUGAAACUGGACACAAGCGGUUAUAAAAAGUCUUCUGUUUGUAGGUAACCAAGAUGAAGGUUCGAAGGGGACCAACAAUGGAUCUCGAGUGUCGUCCACGUUUAAGGUGUAGGCUUGGAUCGUGGCAUUAUGUUUCUGCAAAGUUGUUGUCAUAAGUUUCACACAAGUCUUCUCUACUGAAAUUGUUGAAGGUACAAUAAAAAAAGUAUCCCUUAAAAAUCUAUACAACCAUCUCUUGGAGACAUAAUUCAAAUUUGGUAUGUCGUUGUAAGGACAUAAAAAUCUUAAAAACCUUAUUGUGCCUUAAUGUGCAAAGUGAAUCAGGAAAAGAAGACAAGAAUUAAUAAACUUUAGACAUGACUUCAAGGAUGUGGUGUUGGAUGACCUAUAGAGGAAUAUGACUACUCUUUUAAUCCCAAAGACAUAUAUAACUACCCAAUAAAUUAAUUGCUCAAAUAUGAAGUGUGGAAAGAUUCUCAAAUUUACUGCAAGUUGUAAAUA